CAGCAGCCGCGGGAACACGUAGGUGGCAAGCGUUGUCCGGAAUUAUUGGGCGUAAAGCGUGCGUAGGUGGUGGUUUAAGUCCGUUGUGAAAGCCCUGGGCUCAACCUGGGAAUUGCAGUGGAUACUGGGUCACUAGAGUGUGGUAGAGGAUAGUGGAAUUUCCGGUGUAGCAGUGAAAUGCGUAGAGAUCGGAAGGAACAUCUGUGGCGAAGGCGACUAUCUGGGCCAACACUGACACUGAGGCACGAAAGCGUGGGGAGCAAACAGGAUUAGAUACCCCCGUAGUCCCUGUCUCUUAUAC
rnacentral:rRNA from 1 species